rnacentral:rRNA from 1 species
UACGUAGGUGGCAAGCGUUAUCCGGAAUUAUUGGGCGUAAAGAGCGCGCAGGUGGUCAAUUAAGUCUGAUGUGAAAGCCCACGGCUUAACCGUGGAGGGUCAUUGGAAACUGGUUGACUUGAGUGCAGAAGAGGGAAGUGGAAUUCCAUGUGUAGCGGUGAAAUGCGUAGAGAUAUGGAGGAACACCAGUGGCGAAGGCGGCUUCCUGGUCUGCAACUGACACUGAGGCGCGAAAGCGUGGGGAGCAAACAGG